UAGGGAAUUUUCCACAAUGGACGAAAGUCUGAUGGAGCAACGCCGCGUGCAGGAUGAAUGCCUUCGGGUUGUAAACUGCUUUUAUCUGUGACGAUUAUGACGGUAGCAGAUGAAUAAGGAUCGGCUAACUCCGUGCCAGCAGCCGCGGUCAUACGGAGGAUCCAAGCGUUAUCCGGAAUUACUGGGCGUAAAGAGUUGCGUAGGCGGCAUUGUAAGUUAGUAGUGAAAGCGUGUGGCUCAACCAUACUCA
rnacentral:rRNA from 1 species